rnacentral:rRNA from 1 species
AUACGGAGGAUCCGAGCGUUAUCCGGAUUUACUGGGUUUAAAGGGUGCGUAGGCGGGCGCCUAAGUCAGCGGUGAAAUGCAGCGGCUCAACCGUUGAACUGCCGUUGAAACUGGGCGCCUUGGAUGCGGUCGAGGCCGGCGGAAUGCGUGGGGGGUGUAGCGGUGAAAUGCUUAGAUAUCACGCAGAACGCCAAUUGCGAAGGCAGCUGGCCGGGCCGCAAUCGACGCUGAGGCACGAAAGCGUGGGGAUC